rnacentral:snoRNA from 1 species
UCGGAGCGUUAUGGAUGGUUCUUUCUAAUUUUGAUUGAUGCCAUAGUUAAUGCUCCGAAAAUUAGAUUGGCUUCUGAUGACUACACAGGAACAGGAUACUGUGUGGACAGAUACGGGCCAUACAAUU